GACGAACCGUGCGAACGUUGUUCGGAAUCACUGGGCUUAAAGGGCGCGUAGGCGGGUGACCAAGUCAGGGGUGAAAUCUUUCGGCCCAACCGGAAAAGUGCCUCUGAUACUGGUCGUCUUGAGGGAGGUAGGGGUCGAGGGAACUGGUGGUGGAGCGGUGAAAUGCGUAGAUAUCACUAGGAACGCCGGUGGCGAAAGCGCUCGACUGGACCUCUUCUGACGCUGAGGCGCGAAAGCUAGGGGAGCAAACGGG
rnacentral:rRNA from 1 species